CUGCUCGCUUUGGCAGCAUAUAUACUAAGAUUGGAACGAUACAGAAAAGAUUAGCAUGGCCCCUGAACAAGAAUGACAGGGAAAUUCGUGAAGCGAUAUAUAUAUAU